UGGCUCUCACCGAGGGAGGCAAGGACAUUGCUUUCACAGAUUAUGGACCGACGUGGCAACUCCAUCGGAAACUGGCACUGAGGGCUCUCAAGUACUACAUGAAAGGCGAGAGGUUUCAGGACACGAUAGUUGAAGUUAUGGAAGCUGUGGCGGUAGAGAUGGGGACAGAGACAGGAUCAUUUGACAUCUACAGCUACAUCAACCUCGCCAUCUUCAACAUCAUCAGCAAGAUCUGUUUCAAUGAGAAGUUUUCAUCGGACAAUGAAGAGUUCCUGAACGUCUGUAAGACAAUU